rnacentral:misc_RNA from 1 species
UAAAUAACAAUCGAUAUGUUGCUUUUGUGACAUUUCGGAGUUGGGUCAUCUUAAUCUUACUUUUUAAGGGACCUAAAAUUGAUGUUCUUGCGCAUCUUGACGUGUAUGUAUAAUUUCUUUAUCUCGUCACUUGGAUGCCGGAUAUUAUUAGGUGUGACCAUGUUAAGUGGUUUUUUAUGCCUAUAAGGAUUCUUGAUU